rnacentral:lncRNA from 1 species
UUGCCUUUACUAGUUUGCCAGAUGGAUCUAAUUAUCUUAAAUGCAUAUUAUCUAAUUUAAUUGCAGUGUUGCCAGACAACCAUCUCUCCACAUGUACUUGCAGCAUCUUGUGACAUUCUUCAGAGAUGGACGUAAAUACAAUGAAGGUGUAUGGAAGAGUGCGUUUACUGUUUCUAAGCUGCAUUUGCAAAGAGCAUCUGAAGCCAUUCUUACCCUCCUUAGAAGAAGAUCCACUAGAUGAAGGGAAGUAGACUACAACAGUGAUUUCUGACAGCUGAUGAACUAGCAUAAAACACUGCUGCUGCAGUCCAGGUAUGUUUCCAGUGGGGAGGCAUGGUAUUUCUGCAGUGUUCUUCCAUGAGGAAAGCCACUUGUUCAGCUUUAAUUAGAGCUAAUUUACUGUAGCACAGAAGAAGAAAUAAAGAAAGUAACCAAAGGGUACA